AGAGUUUGAUCCUGGCUCAGAUUGAACGCUGGCGGCAGGCUUAACACAUGCAAGUCGAGCGGUAACAGAGGUAGCUUGCUAUCUGCUGACGAGCGGCGGACGGGUGAGUAAUGCUUGGGAAUAUGCCUUUGAGUGGGGGACAACAGUUGGAAACGACUGCUAAUACCGCAUAACGUCUACGGACCAAAGGGGGGGAUUCUUCGGAACCUCUCGCUCAUUGAUUAGCCCAAGUGAGAUUAGCUAGUUGGUAAGGUAAUGGCUUACCAAGGCGACGAUCUCUAGCUGGUUUGAGAGGAUGAUCAGCCACACUGGGACUGAGACACGGCCCAGACUCCUACGGGAGGCAGCAGUGGGGAAUAUUGCACAAUGGGCGAAAGCCUGAUGCAGCCAUGCCGCGUGUGUGAAGAAGGCCUUCGGGUUGUAAAGCACUUUCAGUUGUGAGGAAAGGGGUGUAGUUAAUAGCUGCAUCCUGUGACGUAACAACAGAAGAAGCACCGCUAACUU
rnacentral:rRNA from 1 species